rnacentral:rRNA from 1 species
AUGGAGAUCACCGUGCACUCGUCCAAGUCCUUGAAGCCCGACUACGGGGAUGGUUGCAGGGUCGCCGGCGACGUCAUCCCAUUAAGUGUGUUCGACAUGGUGAACUACGACAAGUACAUCUUCUACGUGUACGCUUUCCACCCGUCCGCGCCACCCAGCGUCGCCCUCGAGGCGGGGCUCGCCAGGGCGCUGGCCGCGUACCCCGAGUGGGCAGGCCGCGUCGGCGACGGCCCCGCGAUCGUGCUCUGUGACGCCAGCGCAUGGUUUGCCGACGCUACCACCGACUCCGAGCUGGGCAGCGGCGCCACCGCUCUUCUGGCCGCUGGAAGCAAGGUGCUGAGCCUAUACCCUAGUGGUGACGGCACCGAGGAGCUGCUGCUGGUUCAGGCCACGCGGUUUCGCUGCUGCUCCUUGGUCCUGGGCUUCACCAUGCACCACAAGGUGGCCGACGGGCCUGCCAUGUGGAACUUCAUGGCCGCGUGGGGCCAGGCCACUCGCGGCGUCGCCAUCAACCCCGUCCAGGUGCAUGAUCGGACGUCGCUCUUCGCAAGACGGGGCCCACCGCAGAUCAGGUUCGAGCACCGUGGCGUCGAGCUCAAGCCUCUUGACGAGAAGCCGGGUGGUGGUGGUACACAAGGUGCUCAAGUCGCGGGUAUCGGAGACGACGAGGUGGUGGUACACAAGACGCUAGACUUCAGCCGGGAGUGGAUCAUGGAGCUCAAGUCGCACGUAUCGGAGGGCGGCCCCCGGUCGUACUCCACGCUGCAAUGCCUGGCGGCGUACUUCUGGCGAUGCAUCACGAAAGCUCGCGGGCUCGACGGGCGGCAGGCCACCAUGAUCCGCAUCGCCGUGAAUGGGACGCGGAUGCGCCACCCGCGGGUACCGAAAGGAUACACCGGCAGUGUGGUGCUCUGGGCGUGGCCGACAACAACAGCGCGACAGCCGCUCGACCGGCCUUUGCGGUACGCCGUGGAGCUCAUAUCCCGGGAGGUGGCCCGGAUGGACGACGCCUACUUCAGGUCGUUCAUCGACUUCGCGAGCUCCGGGGCGGUGGAGGAGGAGAUGCUGGUGCCGACGGCGGACGCGGCGGAGGUCCGGCUGGGUAACAACGUUGACCUGGACAGCGUGCUAGCGAUCCCGUUCCCCAAGCUGGACUUUGGCUGUGGAGCACCCUUCUUCUUCAGGCCCUGCUACAGUCCUGCACCGGUGGACGGCGCCAUCUAUGUCGUCAAGUCCUUGGCGGGUGACGGGAGCGUGGACGCCUACGUGCCAUUGUUGAGCCGCACCAUGGAGAGCUUCAAGAAGUGCUGCUACUCCCUGCCGGUGCCGCCGCUGGUGGCCGCACGACUUUAG